rnacentral:lncRNA from 1 species
ACCACCGUGAGACCACCGAAACCGCACCGAUGACAACCGGAGAAGAUGAAGAAGAAAACAGAGAAGUCAACCUGUUCCAGCGCCCCUAACCAUUGCGAAACCAGGGUGUUAUGUCAAAAAUCAUGUCGGCGUGUCAACUGGAGAAGAAGAAGGAGGGACGGUGGUUCAAGUAGCCAUCAUCCUCACCCCGCCGUCGGAACCACGGAGGCUCCACCUCCAUG